CUCUAGUGGUGGUGGGGUGUAUGUGCAGUGGGCGGUGGCUGAGGCUUCUAUCUCAGGUAUCUUUCCGCGUGUGCAAGAGUUCACGCGACCAGGUGUCUUCUUUCACUCGGUUACUGGGAGUUUAGUUCUCUGUCUGCACUCAUUUUCCCCAAAUCCCUUCAUCUCCGUUCCAGCAGACUGCUCUUCAGGAAGAUAACCCCAGCAGAUAUAGCCAGACAAGAUAAUGGAGAUGUUGAUGGGAGGAACACUGGGAGGAUCUUUAUCAGUGUGUAUCAGUCUGUGACUCGUAAAACACUCCUCAGGCUGCAGUUCAGCUGCUGAUCUGGAGCUGCUGCAACAGCCCGGCUGCCUUUCAUGCCUGAGAGACAUUCAAAACAAGGAUCAGUGGCUGGAUCAGGAAGAGGUGAGGUGAGCACCAGCAGGAAAUGAAGGGAAGAAUGGACCCGGAUGUGGGUUAAAUGAGUGAGAAGAGUGCGGUAUAAGAGAACGAGUGGUGUGUUUGCGGCCAGGAAGUGUAACUGUGCUUCAGUGACGCCUGUGCAGAAAGUCAUUGCAAAGCACAUCCGCUGUGCACUUCUUAGAACGUUGAAGUUGAAAAAGGGCGUUCGGUUAUGGCUAUUGACUAGAUGAUUC